AUGCUAACGAUGGAAGGGAAGAAUACAGUAAGGAGAGAGGGUGAAACUUGGGGUGCUGCUUGAGGGGAAAAAAAGAGCUCCAGCUCUUGCUGUGUGUGUGCAGAUGCCAAACUCUUCACUAUUCCUGAGUGUGGAGCCACUGUAGACCCUUUGGUACCUGGGAUGUGGUAGGGAUGAUGAAGAAGAGUGUCUGGUGUCUGCAGUAGAGUGACAGGUGGCUGAAGACAAUGGGAGAGAGACUCUCCCAUAAGCAGGUGUAUCCACAGGAAGACUACUGUUCAAGGACUGAGUCAUGUCAACAAGCAUUUAAAUGUGUAGCAGGCAUGUAUAACUUGCCUUUUCUCAAGGAAACUGUUGCAGGAUUUUAUGGCAAUAUUUUGCACUCUCUUGAGCAGAGGGGAAGAUGUCCCCCAUAUAGUUUGUGGCCCACUGUACAACAAAGAAAAUCUCUCUUCCAGGUCUUAGUCUAUGACUGAAAUGUGUAAAUUAAAUAAAAACGUGCCUGAGUUC